rnacentral:rRNA from 1 species
CCUACGGGGGGCAGCAGUGGGGAAUAUUGGACAAUGGGGGCAACCCUGAUCCAGCCAUGCCGCGUGUGUGAAGAAGGCCCUCGGGUUGUAAAGCACUUUCAGUGAGGAAGAACGCCUGGUGGUUAAUACCCAUCAGGAAAGACAUCACUCACGGAAGAAGCACCGGCUAACUCCGUGCCAGCAGCCGCGGUAAUACGGAGGGUGCGAGCGUUAAUCGGAAUUACUGGGCGUAAAGCGCGCGUAGGUGGCUUGAUAAGCCGGUUGUGAAAGCCCCGGGCUCAACCUGGGAACGGCAUCCGGAACUGUCAAGCUAGAGUGCAGGAGAGGAAGGUAGAAUUCCCGGUGUAGCGGUGAAAUGCGUAGAGAUCGGGAGGAAUACCAGUGGCGAAGGCGGCCUUCUGGACUGACACUGACACUGAGGUGCGAAAGCGUGGGUAGCAAACAGGAUUAGAUACCCUGGUAGUC